rnacentral:rRNA from 1 species
AUGGGAACGCGAAGAACCUUACCUAGACUUGACAUCCCCUGAAUAACGUAGAGAUACAUGAAGCCCUUCGGGGCAGGAAGACAGGUGGUGCAUGGUUGUCGUCAGCUCGUGUCGUGAGAUGUUGGGUUAAGUCCCGCAACGAGCGCAACCCUUAUUACUAGUUGCUACCAUUAAGUUGAGCACUCUAGUGAGACUGCCCGGGGUUAACCGGGGAGGAAGGCGGGGAUGACGUCAAAUCAUCAUGCCCCUUAUGUCUAGGGCAACACACGUGCUACAAUGGUGAGUACAGAUAGAUGCGAUACCGCAAGGUGGAGCCAAACUCUAAAACUCAUCCCAGUUCGGAUUGUAGGCUGCAACUCGCCUACAUGAAGUUGGAGUUGCUAGUAAUCGCGAAUCAGAAUGUCGCGGUGAAUACGUUCCCGGGUCUUGUACACACCG